GUUAGCGCCAUUUUUAAAAAUACACAAAUGAACGAUGGAGGAACUGUUCAAUAAAUUGCUUCUUGUUUCUCUGAGAAACUCAUCACGCGAGGACAGGUUUGUGCUACAAUAAUAAAACUAUUACAUGUGCUUCUUAUGAUUAUAUUUAUUUGUCUACUAAUGAUAAUUUGUUGCCUAUUUAGGCGUGUUCGCUUGAGGGUUUCUGUUGCCAUUCACUCACAACAAACAAGAGGAAAGGUAUAGUAUUAAUGUAUAAUAUUAUAUAUAAAUAAUAGAUGAUUUAAUAUAAAAAUAGAAUUAGUCCCAGAAUAAUUAUUAAUGGAUUAAAUGGUAAAAGAAUAGUAAGGUCAGAAACAUUUCAAAAUUUUUUAAACAAAGCACCAAUAAAAGUAACCCUGUAAAUUUCCAGGUUGGAAACCAGGGUUGUUUACCAUUUACAUGGAAAUUCCGGUGAUUCCAUACGGAAAGUAAAUGGAACAAGCAUAUUUCGACGGCCCAACCAGAACUUUUCCAGAAUGAACGGUUUGUUUGAAAAGGUUGUCCUCUCUUACCGAUUGGAACAUGUUGUGCACAUAGCCAGCGGGCUCAUGACCUGUGCACGUUCUAAAUUAAGAUUCUUGGCGGGGGGGGGGGGAUGCGGUAGCAGGUGUGUGGCAGUGAAGGUUAGAAUUUCUGAAUUCACCAAUUAUUUAGUUGUUACUAACCGUAGUACUAGUCGAAACUAGAUAUUAAAUUAUAGAUAACGUAUGUUCUGAAAAUCCAAAUUUUUUGUGCACCAAUAACAGAAGGAAAUUGUGUGCACCAAUGAGCAAUUAUUGGGGAUGUUGUGCACCAAUUUGUGCACCGAUAGUAGUCUUUGUGCAUGGCAUAUGUGCCAUGCACAUUGCCUUCAUUCCAUACUGGGCUCCAGCUGGAAAAUCAGAUUAAGAAAUGUGAGAAUUUGCAUAGAAUCAGCGUUCGUUUAUACAAAUUAUGGCAACACUGAAUUUUUUGAAAGUAGAUAUAAUAUGUGAAGUCAUAUCUGUUGUGUCAAACCAUAUUGGCAAAUUGCAAUAAGCUAGCUAUUAUCAUGUCUGAUCUGUCUAUCACAAGAAGAGUUGUAAAUCUUAAUGCAUGACCAUGUUUUGAUACAUUGCACCAUGUCAGCUUCCCUUGGAGACAAAAUUGAGGCCGAAUAUUAUCAGCCAUUAUCUGGUUAUAGACUUAAAUAUCCUGUGUGUGGUGAACCAACAGAGAUUUGAACUGAAUGCAACUGGAGCUCAAAGUUUGCACAGCAAUUUAGUUGCAAUCUGUGAAAAUUUUAGGCUGGUCACCAGAGGUUCAUGCCAACAAGCCAAGUGCUGACUGCUGGAGGGGAGGGAUUUUGGUCUGAAAGCAGAUUAAUAUACUUAAAAAUGG